GCUACCUGCAGUCGAGCGGAUGAAGGGAGCUUGCUCCUGGAUUCAGCGGCGGACGGGUGAGUAAUGCCUAGGAAUCUGCCUGGUAGUGGGGGAUAACGUCCGGAAACGGGCGCUAAUACCGCAUACGUCCUGAGGGAGAAAGUGGGGGAUCUUCGGACCUCACGCUAUCAGAUGAGCCUAGGUCGGAUUAGCUAGUUGGUGGGGUAAAGGCCUACCAAGGCGACGAUCCGUAACUGGUCUGAGAGGAUGAUCAGUCACACUGGAACUGAGACACGGUCCAGACUCCUACGGGA
rnacentral:rRNA from 1 species